GACGAACGCUGGCGGCGUGCUAAACACAUGCAAGUCGAACGGAAAGGCCCUGCUUUUGUGGGGUGCUCGAGUGGCGAACGGGUGAGUAACACGUGAGUAACCUGCCCUUGACUUUGGGAUAACUUCAGGAAACUGGGGCUAAUACCGGAUAGGAGCUCCUGCUGCAUGGUGGGGGUUGGAAAGUUUCGGCGGUUGGGGAUGGACUCGGGGCUUAUCAGCUUGUUGGUGGGGUAGUGGCUUACCAAGGCUUUGACGGGUAGCCGGCCUGAGAGGGUGACCGGCCACAUUGGGACUGAGAUACGGCCCAGACUCCUACGGGAGGCAGCAGUGGGGAAUAUUGCACAAUGGGCGGAAGCCUGAUGCAGCAACGCCGCGUGCGGGAUGACGGCCUUCGGGUUGUAAACCGCUUUCGCCUGUGACGAAGCGUGAGUGACGGUAAUGGGUAAAGAAGCACCGGCUAACUACGUG
rnacentral:rRNA from 1 species